GAUGAACGCUGGCGGCGUGCUUAACACAUGCAAGUCGAACGGAAAGGCCAGUGCUUGCACUGGUACUCGAGUGGCGAACGGGUGAGUAACACGUGGGUGAUCUGCCCUGCACUUCGGGAUAAGCCUGGGAAACUGGGUCUAAUACCGGAUAGGACAAUGGUUUGGAUGCCGUUGUGGAAAGUUUUUUCGGUGUGGGGUGAGCUCGCGGCCUAUCAGCUUGUUGGUGGGGUAAUGGCCUACCAAGGCGUCGACGGGUAGCCGGCCUGAGAGGGUGUACGGCCACAUUGGGACUGAGAUACGGCCCAGACUCCUACGGGAGGCAGCAGUGGGGAAUAUUGCACAAUGGGCGCAAGCCUGAUGCAGCGACGCCGCGUGGGGGAUGACGGCCUUCGGGUUGUAAACUCCUUUCGCUAGGGACGAAGCGUAUUUGUGACGGUACCUGGAGAAGAAGCACCGGCUAACUACGUG
rnacentral:rRNA from 1 species